CGCCAUUGUCGGUGGUCCUGAUGCUUAUGACAACUUCGCCGACCACCGUGACAAUUACGAGCAGACUGAACCCGCUACUUAUAACAACGCUCCUCUUCUCGGAGUUUUAGCCAGGUUACACGGUGGCCACUCCGGCUCCAACCAGCUACUUCCGGUUGAAAUCCCUCACGUCGCUAAACCCAUCGCUGUUCAACCAAAACCUAAAGCGUCUCCGACCGCCUCCGCCGCUCCAAUUGCGAUCGAUCAAAAGGCUACCGCUUCAUGGGUGGCCAACGGAAAA
rnacentral:lncRNA from 1 species